ACGGGAGGCAGCAGUGAGGAAUAUUGGUCAAUGGACGAGAGUCUGAACCAGCCAAGUAGCGUGCAGGAUGACGGCCCUAUGGGUUGUAAACUGCUUUUGUACGGGAAUAAAGUGACCUACGUGUAGGUUUUUGCAUGUACCGUAAGAAUAAGGACCGGCUAAUUCCGUGCCAGCAGCCGCGGUAAUACGGAAGGUCCGGGCGUUAUCCGGAUUUAUUGGGUUUAAAGGGAGCGUAGGCGGCCUUUUAAGCGUGUUGUGAAAUGUCCCGGCUCAACCGUGGCACUGCAGCGCGAACUGGAGGGCUUGAGUGCGCCGGAAGUAGGCGGAAUUCGUUGUGUAGCGGUGAAAUGCUUAGAUAUGACGAAGAACUCCGAUUGCGAAGGCAGCUUACUGUCGCGUAACUGACGCUGAAGCUCGAAAGUGCGGGUAUCGAACAGGAUUAGAUACCCUGGUA
rnacentral:rRNA from 1 species